UUUCUAGCAAUGAUUAGGAGGAGUAGAUCCAGAAACUUUUAAGAGAGUCCCUGGCUGGUGGAAGGGGAUAAGAUAAUGGAUUGAAGGUAGCCUAGGAGCAUGUCUAUUGAAAAAAAGUAGGUAGACACGUAUGACUGCGUUAAGGUCUUGAGGCAUAGAUAAGCUAUGCAAAGUAAGGUGGUACCACGAGCAUUCGUCCUUAUG
rnacentral:ncRNA from 1 species